AGUUGUAUUAUAAAAUAGGCUACUAUUAAUACAACAGGGAAAAAUCCUGUUUAAAUAUGUGUUUUUAAGUUGUUUUUAAAAUAAAUAUAUAGAGAUGUAGGCCUACAACAUCUUAAACUAAAUUUUUAAUUGUAGGUCUAGCUGUAAUUAAAUUAGCCUAUCUAGUAUUAUCAAAAUGGCGAUCAAGUAUUUAAAAAUAUUGUUGACCUAUUUAUUUUUGUUGGCGUUACUACUGUGACCCAGAUGUGAGAUAAUUAAUACAUUAGGCCUUAGGCCUACAAAUCUCAAGCGAAAUAUAGCCUAGUUCAUGAAAGUUGUUAAGAUAUUGGAAAACAAUGUUUUGAUACAUAAUUCAACAUUUUUUUAGGAAAUAGAUUUAUAACCAAACACAAACAUAAGAAUUUAUGUUAAUGAUACCGGUAGUAAAAAAUGAUUUUAAAAUUUCUUUUUUUUUUACUUGUAUUUUCUAAAGAUCGCUAGGAUUGGUCAACAAUGACGUAAGUGAAAUUUAAUCCAAUCGUAGCCUUCGUCUCAUGUUAUCCGCCAUCUUUUUAUUUUCGCUAACUUGAUCGAUUGGCCCUGAUAAAAAAACAAUUUAAGGUAAGUUAUUGUAGGGGGGUUGGGAUGGCCUAGUGGUCUAGAGUGUCACGCUUCGACCUCUAGUUGGCCGGUCACCUCUGGCUUGCGGCUGUGGUUUCGAUCCCAGGUGUGAGCGUAUGUGGCUUGGAGAUAGGGGCGCCUUCUCAACCUCGUGGGUUUACUCCGGGUACUCCGGUUUCCUCCCACAGCAAAGGUGCGUGCGCUAAGAUCAUUAAAAUGAACUUGUCUGCGAUAUCACCUUCGGUGGAAGCGGACGUUAAACGCUAAGAACAACAACAAGUUUUAAUUGUUGUAAAGACCAGGUUUUUGUUAUUGCUAGCCAAUUUAAUGAUCAGUUACAAUUUGUCACUAACAAAAUGUCUAAGUUGCUGAAAAUCGCGUAAAAACAAGUUUAGUGUGAUUAUGACUCACGAGUCACACACAAUUUGGAUUUAGUGUCAUGCAUGGCAUGGCGUCGACGAAAUGCCUAUUUCAUUGAUUGAUGAAGUACACCGAAUUAUUUAUAAUUUGAAGAUUUGUCCCAGAAAAUUCUUCAGUUUAAUUUGAACUAGAUCUAUGCAGAGAAUUGAUUUAUUCAUUUCAUUUUCAUGGCAUAUCAUUGCCAUUGUCGAAUUGAGGCGCCAUGGGUGUGUCAACGACUAAUAAACCAGUGUACAUGUAUUUCGAUAUUUGUGGACGACAUAACUAGACUUUUUGUGUGGACGAGUUAACUGGCAUUCAUUUUGAAUGAUUAAAGUUGUUUUCGGUAAAUUUAAACUGCGGUACACUGUACCGGUACUUGAAAAAAAGGUGAAUUUAUUUCGUCUUUAUUUUUUUUUCAGAGGUUGUAAAUUAAUAAUCCACCAGUGCCGGUAUGUGAAAAAUAUGUCUAGACAAGAUGAUGGCGAGCUUGUGACCCGGAUGGAUGAAUGAUGGAAAGACAAAUAAUAAGUGCUGUUGUAUACAGUAUUUGGUAUAAAUCAGUCAUUGAAGAUUUUAAUGCCGCCCUGUACCAGCACUAACAAUGUUGACUACAGUCAAUGGAAGGUUAAUUAAACCAGAAUAACAGCACCUAUGAAUGUGGUCGAAUAAGGUGUGGAGGUGAUUAAUAGCAACAUUGAAUGUGGGUUGAAUAUGGUGUGUUCAAGAUGCAAGAAAACACAUGAAAUGUGUAAACUGUAAUGGAUUAUAGCCUGGCGCUAUCCAAAUUACAAAACACCUGCCCCUGUCCGUCCAGAUGUACCUCCGGUGAAAUUUGUUUGUGGACAACUCUACUCGUCACAAUUAUCCGAUUUUAAUGAAAUUUAAAUGUAUAUUUAUAUUCAAAUCAUCUGGGAUCGGAUUCAUUUUGGACUCUAACCUCAUGAAUUAUGGACCCUUAUAUUGUGAUAAAAUUGGGUUUUUAGCAUGUGGGCCAUCCAGAGGAUUUUGGCAUAUAUUGAACCGUAUCUUCCUAGAAUAUUACACCUGAUUGUACGAUCCAUUGUUUUUAACUUCUGGAUCCUCUAGAAUUCUCAGUUUUUUACGCCAACAUUUCCCAUGCCCGAAUUAACCCCUCUUUGCUGAAGAUUUGGCUUUCGAGUUCAGAGUUAUGCCCCACAGCCAAAAACAUUGAAUUUGAUAGGAGUUACAGUUUUUAACCGAUCUUUUCAGAUUCAGAAGCCUAAUUUGCAUAUUUGGCAUGGCUUCUUCCUCACUUCAACAUCAUUUCUGCCUUCUUUAUUUCAUUGAAAAUUUGAAGUGUUGUUACGGAAGUGUGGUAGAAAUGAACACUUCAGAUAUCAAAUUUUUCACUUCGAGCACGUCUCGGUUUAGUGUCACCUACACUUCAUAUGGGUGGCGUCAUCACUUCAUUUGCGUGAGGGUGGGCUUGUACCCAAUCGAAAUUAGUGCUAAAAUAUGCGGGGUAUUACGUGAAGGGCUUGAUAAGAUGUACGUAGUUAAGGCGAGAUCAAACCUUCUAUUGAAGAUGCAUUUAACCAUGCUUGAAUCAUUAGAACACGAGACGCGACAGCGUCGAGUUAUUUUAAUGGAAAAUUCAACAUGGUCAAAUGGACAAUAAAACCCCUCUAAAUACGAAACAGGAACGUGUUUAUCAAUAUUGUAGCUCAAAUAUUUAGGGAGUUUCCCCGGAACUAUUUAAGAAACAUUUUUACAUUAAGUUUAAAAAGUCGUUAUUUGGCCACGUGCUUGGGUACAUUUUUCAAACUAUUCGCAAUAGAAUUGGGCCGUCCUCGCUUUCCCACAAAUUUAAAAUGAAUUAUGAAAGAAAAUGUUAUUCGUACAUAGCCAUUUUUUUGGAGAUUUUUUAAAAGGACAAGAAAUUCGUCUUAAUACGAUGUUUUGAACCGAAGUGUCAAUCUUGAUUGAAAUAGUUCUGACCUGUUAACCGAGACUAAAGAGGAGUAACUCUUGGCAACAAAAAUUAACUUCCCUUGCUUCUGGAGUUCCAUAAUAACAUUGGUUAUUUUUCGGACUCUAUUAUUUUGUUCAGACAAUUGCCUUUCAUGAUUACAUCCUCAAAAAUACCAUGUAAAACUGUGUGCUGUCUAGGAUUCUAGCGGUGUCUAUGUAUACCGUUCUGACGUGUUGUCAACAAAUGCCUAUUUUGGCAUAGAAUUCCUGUUUAUUAGAUAGAUUUCAGCUACUAUUUUCGACACCCUCAUUAUAUUUUCAAGCGAUUUCUUCUUAUUAAUGACUUACUAUUAAGCAGAACAUGCUAGUCAGAAUUUGAUCAAAGCGCGAUUUAAAAGUUCCACCUGAAUAAGUCCCUAACAUUGAUGAAUGAGCCUGCCAAAAAAGAAAACAAAAUUGCCCAUACUGUCAUUGCCUGGGAUACCCGAAAACGGUGUUUAUUUAAUUCAGGACUGAUUUUCUAUUGUUUUAUAUGUUUCAGGAAUAAUAUAUGUUUCCAUAAAAUAUGACGUUUGAAAAUGGUGUGAUAGUCAUGUGUGCAGAAUUUCUUGAAGUUAUGUGUCAAUAAAGAUUUGAGUUGAGGAAGAUCAUUGAGCACAAAAAUGAAAAAAAACAAAACAGAACACCGUUUUAUUUAUACGCAGUAAUUCGCCUUGAUAAUUUAGAGGGGGGGGGGGUAUUUUUCAUUCAAACAACCAGUAUCGAGGACAUUUCUGAUUUGUGCUACAAUGAAUGCUGAACUAGAAUGAACUCUGUUCUAUAUACUGAGAUUGAUUUAAAUGAUGCAGUACUAAAGCAGAAUGAACUGCAUCACAUUUGGUUUUGAUUUCCUCUCUGUUUGUUGGUUAAGUAUUCAGAAAACCGAUUUCAUUCUUUCCCAAACUUACUAUCCAUGAUUAAAUACUAAUCUACAAACAAAAACAUAGCAUUGUAAAUUUACUGACGAGCAAUCAAUAAAUCGUGCAAUUAGCCAAAGGACAAAUUUUAUACCACAGUAGACAAUGCAAUUUGUAUCCCAUUCAGUACACAAAAUACUGAGUGUUUGUUAGUAAUACAUUUAUUGAUUGUAUUCAUUAUUUUAUGCCAUUAUUGUAAAUAAUAAAUACGACCAUUUAAUCAAACUUACAAUGCGUCAAUUAUGAUCACCACUUUGUUAAGUGAUAUUAUGUAUAAAUGGUUGUUUUAUUUUUAUAAUAAAAAAUCUAUGUUGAUCAAAUAUAGUUCAUAUAGUAUGUGAAUCAUGCGGAAGGUUUGCUGAAUAGGUUUAUUUUCCCGUAUUAUGUAUAACCUGGAUGGUUCUUAAAGGUUUGGUUUUGUAAAUUACACAAUGUCUUGAAGAAGUUCAAUGGCAUUUACAAGAUAAAUAUGUGGAAGGAUGGAAAAUAUCUUGCAUUUGCUAUCGACAUAUAAAAAGAACUAUCGCUGUUGUCUAAACCAUGCUUUUAUAAAUUAAACAGUUUGUCUAAAAUAAGUAGCUUUUAAAACUGAUUCCUGCAAUUUAUUUAGAUCCUUUAUAAUUUUAAAAAUUAAUCAAAUAAAAGCAAAUUAAAAUGGGUACGAUACUUCGAUGAAUUAUAUGAGUUUGCAAUAUCUGUACCUAACUCAUAUAGUUUCGUGUAAUUUAUUGCAACCCCCAUUGGAUUCUGAAUCAGUACAUCAAAAAGAAGUAUUAAGCAAAUGUCAAAGGAUCCUCGGUUAUGAAUCUUCAUACUCGGUACUGUAGAAGAGCGUGCCAGGAACGGUUUAUUAAACUGAUUUAAAUAAAUGCCAACUCUAACUGUACACCUUGCUAUUGUGAUGAACAAUGCUACCAAUCCAGAACCAAUAUGUCAAUCGUUCGUUAAGUCAAGUUGUAUUCUAACCAAAAACAGCUUUAAAUGGGCACGCUUUCCCAAACUGGUAGUUUGAAUAAUUGUUUGAAUUCACCCUUGCAGUGGACAAACAUCAAUCCAGUAACAGAUCUACGCACUAAUAUAACCUACCAAAAUAAAUAUUGCGCCAUUUGUAAUUAUGUGGACGUUAUGGAGAAUUGGAAAGCAUGGAUAAGAUGUCGAAGCAAGGAAGAAUUUCGCAAUUACAGCAACCCCAAAGAAACAUAUUCUAAUGUUUUAAGAAAUUCUAACUGUUUUGUAGCCUUCGAACCAUCUGCAACAUGCACUAAAGAUAGGUCCUGCAUUCCAGAGUAGAAAAUGAAGGACAAUAUUGGAUUCAGUCAUUAUCACAUGUGAUAGAACUGGAUAAACGCGUUCCAAACAUAAUUCUAACACAGAGAUCAUUGCUACCAUAGAUGCGUUAUGAAGCUUUCAAGAAAGGGAAAACACGAGUGAGUUGUCCUUCUUUAAACUAACUGAAGUGACGAGUGAUAACAGAAAUAAUUAUCGUAAUAGUAAGUGUAGGGCCAGGCCGCACCACGAACGAACAGUUACACGACAAACCUACGUACAGGCAGAAUAUACACAGACAACAAACAAUAAAUAAGGGAAGGAACUGGAGAAAAAUGUGGUCCUGGGCCCUGUUUCUCGAAAUCUUAACUAAAGAUAAAAUCCAAAUUUUAGAAGAUACUUCAAUUUUGAUUGGUUAAGCACUAAAAUCAAUCUAAUAUUAUCCAAUCAAAUUACUAAAAUUUGGAUUUUAUCUUAGUUAAAAUUUCGUGAAACAGGCCCCAGGUUCUUAAACGUUGUAUCAGACUGAUGUGAUUCAUUAUUGGCGUUGUGCUAAAAGAAAUCUCAAUGAAGGAAAGCCCUUUUAUAAAUAACAAAUUUCGUGAAAUGUAGAAAAUAAAUAUAAGUAUUUGUUAGAAGUUCUGUGCACACUCGUCAAUUAAGGUUAAUAAUUGUUUUGUCUGUUAUACAAAAUAACUUUUGACCCCCGGUUG